CGCGCAGGCGGUCGUUCAAGUCGCGUGUGAAAGCCCCCGGCUCAACUGGGGAGGGUCACGCGAUACUGAUCGACUCGAAGGCAGGAGAGGGUAGUGGAAUUCCCGGUGUAGUGGUGAAAUGCGUAGAUAUCGGGAGGAACACCAGUGGCGAAGGCGACUACCUGGCCUGUUCUUGACGCUGAGGCGCGAAAGGCUAGGGGAAGGCAAACG
rnacentral:rRNA from 1 species